GUCAGGCAUAUUACACCAGGAAACCAUCCUGGUAAUGGUAGCGGGAAAAGGAAGUGUGGCAGGGCGGAAGGGAGACUAUUGUUUACCCGCAGGUCCACUUUGUGGGACCUGGAGUAUUGGAAAGAUUUGGAUCUGCGGCAUAAUCUUGAUGUGAUGCACAUCGAGAAAAAUAUAUGUGACAAAAUUAUUGGCACACUUGUUAAUAUUGAAGGCAAGAAUACCUUGAAAUCUAGGAUUGAUUUGACACACCUGGGUAAUAGAAAGGAUUUGCAAGUGGAAGAUGAAGGUAAACCACGGGAUAUGGCACCAGCUGUG
rnacentral:rRNA from 1 species